ACUUACCUAUUAUAAAUAGUAUAUUUGACUUCCAAUCAAAAGGUUUGUAAUUACAAGUUAAGUA
rnacentral:tRNA from 1 species